rnacentral:rRNA from 1 species
GACGAACGCUGGCGGCGUGCCUAAUACAUGCAAGUAGAACGCACAGUUUAUACCGUAGCUUGCUACACCAUAGACUGUGAGUUGCGAACGGGUGAGUAACGCGUAGGUAACCUGCCUGGUAGCGGGGGAUAACUAUUGGAAACGAUAGCUAAUACCGCAUAAUAUUAAUUAUUGCAUGAUAAUUAAUUGAAAGGUGCAAUUGCACCACUACCAGAUGGACCUGCGUUGUAUUAGCUAGUAGGUGAGGUAACGGCUCACCUAGGCGACGAUACAUAGCCGACCUGAGAGGGUGAUCGGCCACACUGGGACUGAGACACGGCCCAGACUCCUACGGGAGGCAGCAGUAGGGAAUCUUCGGCAAUGGACGAAAGUCUGACCGAGCAACGCCGCGUGAGUGAAGAAGGUUGUCGGAUCGUAAAGCUCGGUUGUAAGAGAAGAACGGGGGUGAGAGUGGAAAGUUCACACUGUGACGGUAACUUACCAGAAAGGGACGGCUAACUACGUG